GCGGACGUUGCCUAAUGGUUGGCACCACUUUCAUACGGUGGCUCCUGGGGGUUCGACUCCCCUCGUCCGCUCCA
rnacentral:tRNA from 1 species